CAAUAGCGUAUAUUAAAGUUGUUGCAGUUAUAAAGCUCGUAGUUGGAUUUCUGGUUGAAGCGACCGGUCGGGCGUUGAUUCGUCUGCACUGGAGUCGGUUUUGGCCAUCCUCUAGGAAAGUGCGUCUGGUAUUAAGUUAUCGGGCGUAUGAUCCUGGUCUUUUACUGUGAAAAAAUUAGAGUGUUUAAAGCAGGCCUUCGCCUUGAAUACAUUAGCAUGGAAUAAUAAGAUAGGACUUUGGUCUAUUUUGUUGGUUUGCAGACCGAAGUAAUGAUUAAUAGGGAUAGUUGGGGGUAUUUAUAUUCCGAUGUCAGAGGUGAAAUUCUUAGAUUUUCGGAAGAUAAACUUAUGCGAAAGCAUUUACCAAGGAUGUUUUCAUUAA
rnacentral:rRNA from 1 species